rnacentral:lncRNA from 1 species
UGACUUUGAUCUUUAUCUUAAAGAUCUCCUUGUAGCUGAAGCUUAAUGAUUUAGUGUCACAAUCUUGACAAAAAUCAAGAGGAAAACAAAAUUUAAAAAGAAGUUAAAAGGGUGAAAAUAAAUAAAAGGUAGAAUGAUAUACUUUCCUUAAAUAAUAAGCUCUCAGGAGUUCUUGGUUGAAAAAAAAUAUGCUGGGAGUAGUAACAGAAUUGUAGAUGAUAUUUCUCCUGCUAUAAACUUCACAGGAAGCAGAAACAGCCUACUUUAGAAUUGGGCCACAGAUGUCAAUGCGUAGAUGUGGGAAGUGUAGAUAAUGAGGACUAGAAAGAGGGUAAUACAACAUUUCAGGAGUGCUGAACUGUUCAAAUUCUUUCUGACAGCUUCUAUUCAACAAUAUCCAAACUGAAAUCCCACUUGCUCUUAUCUACAAUGGACAAGUAUGAGAUAUUGGCAGUAAGGAGACAGAUAAAGGAAAUCAUCCAAACCAUGAGGAGGUUCUUCUCUAGAAAAGAAGAAAGAACAGAUUUGCAUGGCAGUCUAAAGAUGAGAAUCCUUACGAAGCUACAUCUGGCUGAGAGCCAGGGGAGCAGUUGAGAGGGUGUUUAUUGCUGACCACAAGGAGAAACUGCUUAGUGUCAUCUCAGCCCUUUACUGUUGAAACAAUUCUCAGCAUAACAAGACUUUGAUCAACUUCCAUUGUGCUUUUUUUUUUUUUUUUUUUUAAGCAGUAGGAAUUCUUGUGGGAAUAAGAAAAGCAACCCAACCCCACGCCUGACUGAAACAGAGUAGAGAGAAUGGUAGUUGGUUGAGAAUAUAACCAAACACUAAAAACACUCACUUCCACUUUGAGGGUUUUAGGAUACACCCAAUGAGACAAGAAUUCUCACUUAUUCUUUACACAGACCAGAGUGGGUGCAGUUGAAAGGAUUGCAGGGUGACAGGUAAAGGAAAAGAAAUAACCUUGUUAGUUCUUCAAUAUUAUGGUAGAUACAAAAUCCACUGGGGAUAAAGUAGUUUUUACCAAUCAUGGGUUAGUUAGGAAGAUAUUUCUCUUCCUUCUAAUGUACUUAGAUGGAGGGUUACAAAGGAAUAUAGACAGGAUGAAUUCAGCCUGCUGACACUUUGCAUUCUGUGCACAUGACAUUUGAGUUUGUUUGAUGUAUUUAGACAAGGAUACAUACAUACAUAUGGUUUUUUGCUCCCUAAAGUUUCACAUUAUUUUUAUUAUUUUAUAUUUACAUUACCUGACUGGCUCUGGCAGCAUUCUAGUUUGUGGCCUGGAGCUUAGAACAUGUUGUCUCUG